rnacentral:rRNA from 1 species
AUUGAACGCUGGCGGCAUGCCUUACACAUGCAAGUCGAACGGUAACAGGUCUUCGGAUGCUGCCGAGUGGCGAACGGGUGAGUAAUACAUCGGAACGUGCCCGAUCGUGGGGGAUAACGAGGCGAAAGCUUUGCUAAUACCGCAUACGAUCUACGGAUGAAAGCGGGGGAUCUUCGGACCUCGCGCGGACGGAGCGGCCGAUGGCAGAUUAGGUAGUUGGUGGGAUAAAAGCUUACCAAGCCGACGAUCUGUAGCUGGUCUGAGAGGAUGAUCAGCCACACUGGGACUGAGACACGGCCCAGACUCCUACGGGAGGCAGCAGUGGGGAAUUUUGGACAAUGGGCGAAAGCCUGAUCCAGCCAUGCCGCGUGCAGGAUGAAGGCCUUUGGGUUGUAAACUGCUUUUGUACGGAACGAAAAGCCUCUUUCUAAUAAAGAGGGGUCAUGACGGUACCGUAAGAAUAAGCACCGGCUAACCACGUG